UACGGAGGGUGCAAGCGUUAUCCGGAUUCACUGGGUUUAAAGGGUGCGUAGGCGGGCAGGGAAGUCCGUGGUGAAAUCUCUGAGCUUAACUCAGAAACUGCCAUGGAUACUAUUUGUCUUGAAUAUUGUGGAGGUAAGCGGAAUAUGUCAUGUAGCGGUGAAAUGCUUAGAUAUGACAUAGAACACCAAUUGCGAAGGCAGCUUACUACACAGUUAUUGACGCUGAGGCACGAAAGCGUGGGGAUCAAACAGG
rnacentral:rRNA from 1 species